rnacentral:rRNA from 1 species
GACGAACGCUGGCGGCGCGCCUAACACAUGCAAGUCGAACGAGCGAGAGAGAGCUUGCUUUCUCGAGCGAGUGGCGAACGGGUGAGUAACGCGUGAGGAACCUGCCUCAAAGAGGGGGACAACAGUUGGAAACGACUGCUAAUACCGCAUAAGCCCACGACCCGGCAUCGGGUUGAGGGAAAAGGAGCAAUCCGCUUUGAGAUGGCCUCGCGUCCGAUUAGCUAGUUGGUGAGGUAACGGCCCACCAAGGCGACGAUCGGUAGCCGGACUGAGAGGUUGAACGGCCACAUUGGGACUGAGACACGGCCCAGACUCCUACGGGAGGCAGCAGUGGGGAAUAUUGCACAAUGGGGGAAACCCUGAUGCAGCGACGCCGCGUGGAGGAAGAAGGUC